AAAAAAUGUGUUAUUUCAAUAGGGGAAUGAUACCUUACUUAAAAUUAAGGAAUUAGUGGAAUAUGCCAGAAAGAAAAAUAGAGGAGCGGGGCGGACAUCGGCACGUGCGUGGAGGCUAGGGCAGGUAAGUUCACAUAAGGGUCUGAGCUCAUAUGUCGUACUCUAUCAUUGGCAUGGGCGGCAUCGAUUCAUUCGAUUACAUUUUACUCUUCAAAAUCCAUCUAUGGAUUCCCGGAGCUGCUUACACAAAAAUCCACUUUUAUUCGAUAUCCGAGUCAAGGGGGGACA
rnacentral:lncRNA from 1 species